rnacentral:lncRNA from 1 species
GGCUUUUACAAUUAAUUCAGUGUAUUCAUCACAUUUCCCCUGUUGUGUGCAGCGGUUCAUGUUGAAGCUGAGAAAGAUGAUUCAUUUGCUUUCUUCUCCCUCCUGUCAGUAGCAGCAGUAGCCCUCAGAGCAGCAGUAAAUGCCUGGCCUGCAGCCAUGUGUUGCUACUUCUCUUCUGGGCCUUCAGAUGAUACUGUAAUCAGAAGAGGGACAAGGUCUUUGCCCUCACCAUGUCCAAGAGUGUUAAUGAUGUGUUCCCUCUCCAUUGCAUUCCCCACCUGCCAUCC